CAUAAAUAGGUCAUAGUCAUUAUUAAUUUCUAAAAAUAAAACCAGCGCAGAUAUGUCAACUGUGGUGAACGCGAUUUGCGCAAUUUUCUGUUUUACCAGAUAUGUUGAAUACAAUUUUGUAAAUUUGCCAUUUUUUGUAAGGUGAUUGUUGAUUGGAUUUGUUUUUGAAAAUCACACGCAAACCGACACAUGUGAUAAAUCAGUACAGUUUAGGGUAAAUCUCCAUUGAUGAUGCCUCCUAAAGCGAGUAAAUCCACAUGCAAACGCGGCCAAAAAAACGAUAUCUACCUUCUGUAUGACGAAGACGACAGCAGUCGUGUUAUGGAAUUUGCAGAGCAAUUCAGACAGUUUUACAAAGUGUUUGAUCCUCACACAGAUGGUGUACCAGGGGAAAGUAAACUUUGGUCGUGGUUAGAAAAGGGCAUAUACAACUCGAAGAUGACAGUCGUAUUCUUUUCAAAGAAAUCUAUAACAAAAGAAGCGUACAUUCAGCUGUCUCAUGCGAUAAGAGAACACAGAAUCAUCGCUAUAAUGGUGCAGUCGUGUAAAAUUCCAAAGAUCUUAGGACAUUUUAAUAUUGUCUAUGCCUACCAUACGGACAGCUUCGAUCUCACAUUGAAUCACAUACGGCAAGCGAUAGAAGCGCCAAAAGAAACGUUUAAGCGUCUGGAUUUUCCGUAUCACAAUCCUGGAAAAGUUACACAAACUGUAGUUGGUAUACCAAAGUUCGAAAACCGGACGCUCCAAGAAACCCCCAGAAAAACAACAAAAAUCACUGUUCUGGAUGUUAUCUUGAAUGCACACAUUGUUUGCAAUGUUUUUAACAAUUUCACUCUUCGAUGCGACAAACCAGAGUGCACAUUUAAAUGCAGAGCGAACAAUUUUCAAGAGGUUCAUGCGCACACCAGAUCGUGUAAAUUUGAAUGGGUGCAAUGUAGCUAUUGUAAGCAAAAAGUGUUUCGAAAGAAUAUGCAAAAGCACGAGCAAAGAAAAUGUCGGUUUCGGAGAUUAAAAUGUUCCAACGAAGGCUGCGUCUAUCUGACCUCUUUAUGCGAUGUCGAGUCACAUAAACGGUCAUGCGUUUAUCAGUUGGUCAAUUGUCGAAACAGUAUUAACGGAUGCAAAGCAGUUCACCUGAAAAAAGAUGCAAACCAACACAAACGAAAGUGUGACUAUGAGACACUUAUGUGCAAUUUGUGCAAACUGUUUAAGCUUGAUUUUGACAGUCAUCACUGUCAAAACAGUGACAAACGAACUUAUAUAUUUUCAUGUGAAAAUACUGGAUGCAUAUAUGAAGGAUCUGCGAACGACAUGAUAGGACACAAUCUUGUUUGUGAAUUUCGGAAGCAAACAUGUCGCCACUGUUCCAGAUUGAUACCUGUAGGGAUGUUAACUGCACACACACAAGAGUGCUCUGAUCUUACAUCAUGUCAUCAAUGCGGCGUAACGAUACCGAGGUAUUUACUUGAACGUCAUCGACAGAUAUCAUGCGGUGUUGGUGCCAUGACAACAGUAUGCGACACGUGCUAUUCUAUUGUUGAUGAGGUCUCUAUGAAAACGCACACAAAUAAUGACUGCAUCAAUUACAAAAGACAUUUUUCCAUGCAAAACACAGCACCGAAUGCCAAUACAAACGCGAAAGAGCCAAAGCAUCAGAGCGAAGAGGUUUCUCAGCUGGUACCGAUUGUACGCAGGAAACAGAGAGGAAGUAUCGGGAAUCCCCUGACGUCAUUCAAUAAAGAAAUGUGUUCGCAUGCGUUUGCUACGGGUCUUUUUAUAAGUUGGGCGGAAUUUCCAGAGGAUCUCCGUAAAAAGCUCUUUAACAUGUUUAAAGUGAUCGACAUGGAAAAUCUCUAUGUGGACAUAUUUGUAUUCGACCAAACACCAUUUUGAAAUUGGGUCAACUUUUUAUUAGGGCUGGUACCGAAAUACUGCUGGAUAAAUGGAAGACGGUUAUCAACCAUUAUGCGCCUGCGUGGGCGUGAUAGCUGCGGCAACUCGGAUAAUAGCAAAGUCAGCAGUCAUUACGUUAACUUCGAAGACCACCAGAAACUUGGGAUAAUGACACCCGAACGUCGGGACUGGUUCAACAGCAUUGGCAAUCCUGCCUCGCCCUGUUCAUCUGAAAGCGGCGACAGUCUGCCUUCGCCGUUUUACACUGAGGGCUUGUGUCAUUCAUCUUCGUGGUAUAACCUUACCUAAGGUUAUUUCAACGACAGUCCUUCUCAGAAUAGACAGUACACUGAUCUAUGUCCAGGAAUAAUAUCGAAUACAAUACCGUUAUUAUGACUGUAGACGUUUCCAAUUAGGAAUCGAUGAAAUGACGCCAAUAUAAAUUACGGGUAUGACAUCAUUACAAAGGACCUGUUUGCAGAUUGUUAUACUUUUGAAAAAAAAAGUAUAAAGGAAUUCAUUAUUAACGGUAUGCCUGUAGAUGAGCUCCAAAAGGAAGGCGCACACAAUGUUGUAAUCAUUGAGCAUUAAAGAAGUGGUAUGUAUCGAUCAUAACAUAGGUUUUUAAUGCUAUCUAUUGUAUUUGUUGUAAAAAAUGACUCGACAAACAUUCAAUUAAUAUUUGUUAUGAAAAAACGUGAUAAAAAUGCAAAAAAAAUGGGAAGAAGUUAUGUCAGUCCUUGGUCAGAAGUUACGGUCAGACUUAAGGCCAAAGGUCAAACAUGUGCAUGUCUAAACUUUUUAAAUAAUAAACAAAUAUAAUGAUCAUACGCUUGACGUGUUGCCGACAUGCAUCAAAUGUCGUCAAGUGUUUCGCAAUAUUUUGAUUUAUGGAAAUACACAUAUAACAUCAGUAAUAUCUACAAUGACGUCAUCAGUCAGGUUUGAAAUAUUGCAUGACCAAAUUUAAUUAAUAGUUUAACAAUAUUAAGUAAAAUCUUAUGAAGCGGCGGAACGGGUCUGUUCGUAGCCGAAAAAAAAUUGACGUAAUAUUAUCGAACUCACUAAGACUAUAACCGACGUUUGUAUUAAUAAAACAAGUGUUUAAUUAAAGGAUGAAACUGUGCAUUGCUUGAUUUAUUUGAAUUCUUAAAGUGCAAAUACUUACCACGUGAACUGAUCCAUAACACUAUCGUCCGACUUCAAUCUUUUACCAUUACUUAUAAAUUGUGUAAUGCAUAUAUAAUGUAGGGUAUGUAUAAGCUUUACUGCUGAAUAAAAAUGUUGUUGGUGUAUUGAUCAGGCAUUUGUAUUUCACUAGAACAUUUGUACUGUUGAUUUUACUAGAACAUCUGUACAGUUGAUUUCUAAAUGUAAUAAUGAUUUCACGUACUUUUUAGAAGGUCUAGUUAAAAAAUACAAAUGCCAAAAACACUGAACGUUAUUAUCAUGCCCUUAAUGAUUAAGUGCUUUACCCAAAGUGUGCAACCUAGCCAUUUAAUUUGAUCAAAAUGAAGGUUAUAGUUUAAUACAGUUAUAGCUGUUUACCGGGUACUGAAUAAGAGAUGUUACUUAUUGAUGAACAACUACUGCAAAGUGAAAAUUGUACAGUGUGGAUGAACAUUAUUGUCCCUUGACAAUUGUAUAUAGAUAAAUAUUUCUGGAAAAGACCAACAUGAUGAAAUUUAUUGGUGUGAUGCAAUCUGAUAAUACAAGUACCAACAUAAACUUUGUAAUGGAUGUAACACCAUAUACUUUUUAACAUAUAACUUAUAUACUGCAUUUUAUUGGAAUGUUUAUUUUAAUUCAAUGUUAUUUUUUUAAUGAGCUAACAUCUGAUACUACUGUGCUUCUUGUAUUGUUAAUUGUUUAUCGUUUUGUCAUCAGCUUAUAUUUUUAAUUCAAACUUGCAUUGUAUGACAUAAUUACAGAAUACUUCAGGGCACUGCCGUUGACACAGUUCACAAAGUAUCGAUGCAUUCCUUUAUUCAUAUACGCAAUCAUAAAUUAAAACUUUUAUUGAUAAAAAUAUAACCUAACUGAUUCAUCACAUCUUAAAGCCUCAUGACUACUCAAAAUCAACAAAAAAUUCGUACACUAUUUUGUAAAUUAAAGUCAAACAAUAAACAAAUCAGUGUUCCUUAUGGCGAUUGCCGAAAUUUCAACGCCAGAUGUGGUCUGGUAACAUAGAUGUUUGUAGAUACAAAAUGCUCGUUUUUAUUUAUGUAUUGCCUAUUUAAUUCCAUUUUAAUUUCACAGUUUAGUGUUCGUGUGUCGUAUGCAUAGAUGUUCCCGGGAAAUGAAAAUGGAAUUUAUUGUGUCACAAAUAAAUAAAAACGAGCAUUUUGUAUCUGCACAAAUCUAUGUAAUUAUACCACAUAUUGCGUUGAAAUUGUGGCGAUAUGCUAUAAGGAACACUGAUUGUUUAGGUGUUAACUUUAUUUUACGAAAUACUUAACGACAUUUUCGUUGAUUUUGAGUAGUAAUGGGGCUUUAAGCUUACAUGUGUGUUGUUGCUAGUUUGUAUAAAUCUGAGUCUCGGUUAGUUACACACUAUAAAAAAUUGUGUGCAAUGUGUUGUGUUUUAAAUGGUAAUUAAUAUUAUAUUAAUAUUACAAAAUUACUUCGAAAAAUUACGAAGAAAAAAACAUACAGAAAAUUAUUUUCCAUUAAUUGCGGAGUUAUUUUUUAUUGUGAAUGAAAAUAUUUUAAAUAUUAAUAAUAGUUGAAAUAAAUU